rnacentral:rRNA from 1 species
AGAGUUUGAUCAUGGCUCAGGACGAACGCUGGCGGCGUGCCUAACACAUGCAAGUCGAGCGGAGAUUGCAGUAAUGUAAUCUUAGCGGCGGACGGGUGAGUAACGCGUGGGCAACCUGCCUCACACUGGGGGAUAACACAGGGAAACUUGUGCUAAUACCGCAUAACAUCAUGAAAGGACAUCCUUUUAUGAUCAAUGGAGCAAUCCGGUGAGAGAUGGGCCCGCGUCCAAUUAGCUAGUUGGUGAUGUAACGGACCACCAAGGCGACGAUUGGUAGCCGAACUGAGAGGUUGAUCGGCCACAUUGGGACUGAGAUACGGCCCAGACUCCUACGGGAGGCAGCAGUGGGGAAUAUUGCGCAAUGGGGGAAACCCUGACGCAGCAACGCCGCGUGAAGGAUGAAGGUUUUCGGAUCGUAAACUUCUUUGAUGGGGGACGAAACAAAUGACGGUACCCCAAAAAUAAGCCACGGCUAACUACGUGCCAGCAGCCGCGGUAAUACGUAGGUGGCGAGCGUUGUCCGGAAUUACUGGGUGUAAAGGGCGUGUAGGCGGGAAUGCAAGUCAGAUGUGAAAUACCGAGGCUUAACCUCGGAGCUGCAUCUGAAACUGUGUUUCUUGAGUGUCGGAGAGGAAAGUGGAAUUCCCAGUGUAGCGGUGAAAUGCGUAGAUAUUGGGAGGAACACCAGUGGCGAAGGCGACUUUCUGGACGAUAACUGACGCUGAGGCGCGAAAG